GACAAUAAAACAAAAAAAAACACAGGUCAGAAAAUCAACACCUACCAGGGACAAGGACAAUAAAACAAAAAAAAACAGUUCAGAAAAUCAACAUCUACCAGGGACAAGGACAAUAAAACAAAAAAAAACACAGGUCAGAAAAUCAACAACGAUCAAGGACAGGGGCAAUAAAACAGAAAGCACAGGUCAGAAAAUAAACAUCUACCAGGGACAAGGUCAGUAAAACAAAAAACACAGGUCAGAAAAUCAAUGCCUACCAAGAAGAGGGUCAGAGACAAAUAAAACAAAAACACAGGUCAGAAAGUGAACAACCAGCAGUGACAAGCAAAAUACCAAAGACAAUGAAACAAUAACACUGGUUCAGACAGUGAUCAGCUUCCAAAGAAAUGGACAAUAAGACAGGUCAGAAAGUGAAACCACCAAAAAAGGAGACAAGCAAAACCACCAGGGACAAUAAAACACUGGUCCGAAAGUGAACAACUAUCAAAGACAGACAAACAAAAACAACCAGGAACUAUAAAACAAAGAGUUUAGCUUUCUUUCCAAAUUAUGCAGCCUGUGCAAUGCAUUGGCCCAAUGCCAUUUAAACCAAUGGUCUCACUAAGACAUCACAAAAUGUGGCUCCAUCUCUCAGCAGCAUCAUUUACUAUUGGCACAGGGCAUAGCCAACAUGGACUAGUUUAAUUAUACAUUCAUGCAAACUAAAUGAUGAAUUCUGUUUUAUGCAUCUUACAACUCAAGGCAGGUCAAACAUAUCACUAAAGGACAUUCACAAGGUACAAAUAUUGGACAAACAUCUAGUUAUGCUUCUCUGUGAUUUGUGUCUGCGUGUGUCAAUCAGAACAUUGUUGAGUAUGUACUGAAAACUGGACCUCAGAGAAAGGAGCCAUCAGAGACACACGAUUGGAGGGAAGGACCGAGUCUUGGUUGAUGGUCUGUACAAUUUCACAAUAAGUUAGUGGUUUCCUUAACCAUAAUGGAUUGAGAAACCACUGGUCGAGGCUCACAGAGUGGCCAGCCGAGCAGGGGAUACUGCCAUGGUGAGAUUUGAACCCACAUCUCCACAGCCUGGGCCUCUGGAUUAUGAGUCUAACGACAGUACCAUUACAGCACCAUCCCCUCCUACACACAUUCACUGAUCUGUCACAGCCAGACUACUUGACUGGCUGGCUACUACCCAUGCUCGCUUUUUUUAAAAUUGGCAAUCCUUCAGGUUUACCUGAGAAAUGAGGGGGAAUUUCCGGCAGGAGAAGUCGAUGAAUCCGA